ensembl:lncRNA
CUCUUUUACAAUCUCUUCCAUGUUGGUAAGCACCAGGUCCAGCAACGCUUCACCUCUUGUUGGUCUGUCCAUUACCUAAACCAGAAAGAUAUUGUCAGUGGACUCCAAGAGUCUCCUGGGUCACUUGCAGAUCACAAUGUUGUUUUCUAGUAGAUAUUUGAGUGGUUGAAAUCUCCCAUCCAGAUGAGAACCCGUGAGCACAAUGCCUCUUGCAGCUGAAGCAAGAAGGCCUUGUCAACAGCUCCCCUUGAUCAGGCAGCUCAGAGUAGACCCUGACCACCAGAUGCCCUUUACUGGCCCUGUCCCUAAUCUUAACCCACAAGAUCUUAACCUGUUCCUGACUGUUUCUCAGGGGCAGCUCUCAGCAGAUUAUCCACUUCUUAACAAGAGGGCAACUCCCCCACCUCUCCUAUUUGCCUAUCCCUUCUAAAAAGUUUACAGCCCUCAAUCAUGGUAUUCCUCUUGUGAGUCAUCCCACCGUGUUUCCAUGAUAGCAAUAAGAUUGUAGUUUUCCAAUUGCACCACAGUUUCCAAUUCCUCCUGCUUACUUCCCAUGAUGUGUGCAUUGGUACAGAGGCAUUUCAGCUGAAAGUGCCAAAGGUCACAUCUCUGUUUGCCUUGGACCCUUUAUAGAUACAGAUAUAAAACCAGAUAAAUAUGACUGUUUGGAGCUAAAUGCGUGUGCUGCAAGAGUGUGUUAUUAAUGAGAAAAAAGCCUGAAGGCACAGUGACUCCUAGCUCAUGGCCAGCAGACCAUUGCUCUUGUUCUGGGGAAGCAAAUGGGAAAAGCAGAGCCAGCCAAGGAGCAGACAGCCUACACAGGGAUGGAUUUGCUCCUGGCCCUUUCUCAGGCAAGGCGAGAGCUUUUCCUGAGUGCAACCCACAAGACUGGAUCCACAGCUCCUCUGCCUGCAGCACUUCAAGACUUCCAGGUUGGAGACAAUGCGUCUGGAAAUUUGGGGUGAGCUGCACCUCCUGUGUGUUUUACUUGGACAGUAGGGUGUAAGUACCACGCUGCUGUGCUCUUAUUUAGCUCUGUUAUUACAGCGCUGUUUGUGAAGCAGGAAGAGUAAUCCUCAUGUAAAAAUAAUAGUAUUGCAGAGCUAGACAGCAGAUGGUGUUAUUAAAUACCUGGGCAAAGUCUAAGGUCGUAACGCUCUAACAAUUAAAAAGAUCUAUUGUGUAUCACUUAAUAGGUAACCUCCUAGUGUAGGAUGUUUGCAAGGCUGAGCAGAGAGGCGAGUGGUAUCUUGUCCGAGCCCAGACAGCUCUUCCAGUUAAGCAAAUACUUGGCAACAAUUUUCUUGUCUAAAUUUGGUGCUACCACCACAUCAGAUAGAUACAAUAUGAUCCCAUAUCAUCUCCUAAAUGAUCCCUUCUCUAAUCAGCUCCAUUAGGUUUUAAAUAGACUGCAGCUGCCUGAGAACUGGUGAUAGUUGCCCGACAUCCAGGUUCACUUAUAAGAGCAUGGAGAGGCAACUCACUGGGUGAUGUGAAUGGACAUAAGCCUGCUGCCAGGCACGUCUCCCGCUGGCUGCAGGGAGAUACUGGUGUGUGAGGUGUGCCCGCCAGCGGCCGUGGCUUCCCAUGAGCACCUGCAGCUAUGGGCCUCUCUCCCAGGUGAAACCUCCUUGUCUCAGUUGGUGAAGUUGAAGCUGAACCUCAGUAAUAUGUGGCAAGGCUCUUCCUGCUGCAUAACAUUUUAAGCCAGAACUCCAAGGAUUAAUUUUAUAUUCUAGAGACUGCACUUUCUGCAUUUUUCCCUUGGUGUUUGCUUGGCGUCUUGUGAGCUGUACCUCUCAGUUGAACCUCUCAGCUGAAUACUGGCAUCCAGGAAUGCAACUCACCUUCUCUUCUGCUAUUAGCUCAUUUUACAUGCAUAAGCAAGACUUUCUGCAUCGUAUUCAGAGAUGUGAACCCGAAAUCAUCUCUUCUGGGACUACAAGGAGACUAAGGAGGCUAACAGUCACUCUUUGGGGCACUUCAGACUGGCCUUUGAUCACCAGAGAUCAAGAGUAUUUCCACCCAUACAAGCAUGCUAUAAAGCCAGCUCUUUGACCUCAUUCCUCAACACGGACAAGAACUGAAUUCCUGGAAUAAAGAAAAAAAAUGGAGAAAAUGCACUCCCAUUUUGACAAAAAUAACUGAAGAGAUCCUUCCAACUCAAAAAAGCCUUCAGGAAAAAAUGUGGGACAUAUCCUUCACAGGUUGUCAACCUUCCAUUGGAAGCAGAAGAUCCAUGACAAUUCAUGCCACAGAGGUUUGCUGCCAGGUGGCGGAGGACAAAGUUCACUCUGGAGUGGUUUGCUAGCAGGGCAGUUGCGCAGUGGGUGGAAGUGCCCAGAUGGGAGGCAGGGAGAAGAUGGAAGGCAGAGAACUGAGGUGUGCAGAGGUGACUGGGAGGACACAUCACAGCCCCAUCUCUGAGAAGGGCCAGGAUGAUAGCUUAGGAAAACGCAGACACGAAGGGCAGUUGGGCAGUGGUACAGUCCCAGCUAAAUCCCUAGUUGUAAAGAGCCCGAAGGACUUUUUAUGCAGGAAUUUGCCUAACCACAUUUUAAGUCUGGUUAUACAUUGACAAGAAAAAAUGACCCACGGUGAGGCGUUCACACAGCCUGCUCUUUCACUUUGAUAGCCCCAGGCUUCUGCACCAUGAGAAGCAGUGGGUUAACAUGCCACCUGCACCCUGACUGUGCCACCUGGGACAGAUCUCAGGGCUGCCUGAGUUUAUUUUUAUUUUCCAAUAUUUCAACUAAAGAAAAUACCCACUAGCUGAUCUAUGAUAGAAAAGUAAAAUAAGUAUCGUACGUGUGCUCAACACAAAUAACUUACUUGAGAAACCCCUCAUACACCUCUGCUUUAUUGUUUUAUUUUCCAGUGGUGGUUUAUGGUGUUGUGAUGAAGCCAGAGGUUUGACACAAAGAGGUAGUCUUUACCCAGAUACUAAUAUUCAGUAGGUCAUCUUGUGAAAACAUACUGGAAUAGAAAUGAAGAGGGAAGGGGCUAGGAAGGGAAAAAGGAAGGAAAAGCUGGACAGUUCAGGGAGCAAAGAAAAUAGCCACAGUGCCACUAGACAGAGAAAUAGAAUGCAAAUAGUGGGGUGAAGACCCACUUUGUAGAGGGACUCCCAUUCAUGAUUAUAUGGUAGAUAAAAGUUCAGUGAAACAGAAGCACACCAGCUGCAUUCACCUGGAGACUGUUGGCACCAUGUUGUUGACUGCAGCUUCUCUUGCAGAUGCAAACAUGAUCUCUGCUGUUGUGACACAAGCUGGGGUGAGCUGUCCUUCCAGCUCCUUCUGCAAAAGUGCCAAGAGCAUGACAAGUGGGGUCCAACAUACUGGUUUUGGCCAGCUCUCCCCAAAGCCAACAGGAGCCUUGAGUCAGGCCACAGGUAGGCGCAGGGCUUUGAGCAAGCUUAAAAAAAUAAAUAAUUACCCAUCCCUGUCCUCAUGGGGAUGCCUCUCAGAUCUUCCUGCAGCUUUCUUCACAGCUUGUUUGGAGCAUUAUGUAGUCUGACCCAAAUUCCAAGAGCACCAUCAGGACAGUUCUCCAGCUGAUGCCGUGGAUGCUCAGUUAGACUACGACACUACCACAGCAGCUUGUAAAUUUGUUUUUCUUCUUUUCGUAGAGCUUCCAAUGACUCAAAGAGCAAUCAUUGGAUGAUAUAUCAAACUCCAACUGCUAGAUAAAGAAGAGAAAUCGGAGUGUCUGCAAGGAUACCAGCUAUUGUUGUAUCAUCAUAGCUCUUCUGUAACAUUUUCUUCUCAUGAGGUGAUAUGAAGUGCAUGGAGAGGAGUAAGUUAUAAAGUUGUACUAAUGUGAUUGUUUGGGAUGUUAAAACAAAGUCAACAAUUCCUUUACAAACCAUCCCAGCUUCUGGGCAGAUAUCCCUGGAAGCUUCAGGAGUCCUCUUUGAUCCUGGCUGCCCCAUAAAGAAACAUCGUUUAUACUGAAUUAAUUAGCUGCCACUUAACCCUGGCGCCAAGAGUUGAUGUCAUGAGGCAAAACAAAAUGGAGCUAAUGAAAUCAAUAACAUCAUUAAAAUAACUCACAGCAGAGUUACUGACUGCCGUGCCGACUGUGCUUAUGGACCAAUUGCUCAGCACGUAAAGGGACUUCUGCAAGAACAUGUUCAAGCUAUGAAUGGCAGCCAGCAGCCAACUUGACAUCACUCUGCUCAGGUGAGCUUUUCCAGGACUGCACAGGGAGGUUGCAUGGGCACAGCCUUGGCCUGGAAGUGUCAGAUUGGUUUGGACAGAUGGCAGUAAGGAGUAGAGGGCAAGGUGCUCCCAAAGCAAAUUUCUGAGUGGGAGUUUUAAGCAGGAAGGUACAUUUAGGUAGAGCUUUUCUACUAUUAAUGAAGCUAGAGUAAGACAUUACUAGGAACAAUGCACACCAUGCACAGGAACAAGCUGACCUGGAAAGAUUAAUCUGUCCCUGAAGGCCUGAAGCAUCUUGGUUGGCUGCUGAGAAGCUGAAGCCCUGAUCAACAGUGCUUAAAGAGCAUGGACCACAGUGAGCUCUGGCUCAGUGAGAACUUCUUGAUGCUGUGCUUGCAGGCCUGAGCCCCCAUCAUUGGAAACACACUGUAAUGUCAAUGCUUAAUUGAAUGAAAGAUCUAACUGCAUGCUUCUUACACAGAAUUUCCAAAUGUUUGCAAAGUCUAAGCCCCCUCACUGUGCAAAGAUAUAAUAGAUACUGUCAAAAAGUCUUAAGACAGACAAACAGCAAUGGUAAGUCUUUCACUGUUCAAGUUUUACACAAUGUUUUCACCACUGUUAUCCGGCUCUCCUGUAUUUAAUGACAAGUUCAUAGGCGGGGGCAGGUAAUUGUGAACAUUAAUAUUAAUUUUUCCUGACACAACUAAGUGCUAAAUAUGCAGAAGCAUAUCUAUUUAGCUCUGUGCUGGUGCUCUUUCUGUGCUCUUCCCUGAACUGACUGCUGCUAUCAUCUCUUUAAGUUAGCUCCUUCCUGACUAGAUGCUCUGCAGUAUUUGAUUCUGACUUAUACAGGAAACUUGGGUCUGCAGGCAAAGGUGAAAGGCAGCUGGGGUGAGAGUGACCUUCAAGUGGCAAAUCUGAGGCAGAAAGGACAUUUGAAGAGUUAACAGUGCUGUAAGGAAGUUGUGUGGAAGGCACAAUCACAGAAGAAAUAGUAAAGAACUGCUUGUGAACUGCUUGGUAGCAGGGCAACUUAGCACAAGCCCUACAGGAGGCCCACAAGGUACAAAGUGAUUAAAUCAUGAGCUCUUCAUUAGUUUCAGAUGUGCAGUGGAAGCAGACAGAAAGUCAAACUAGGUCAUGUUACUAAGAGGAGGAAUGAAAUGAAAAAGAUAUAGGUGAUGCAACGAGCAGUGGGCGUGAAGUUUAUGCACUUGAAGUAAAAGGAGGGCCAGAGAAAGACCUGAGUUUCACAAGGAGGAGUUACUCAGUGACGAUACCAAAGACCUAAAUGGUUGUUACUUUCUUCCUUUGGUCUACUCAAAGGUGCCCAAGGAGUCAGAGAGCAAGCAGCUUAAUUUCAAUUCCUGGAAAAUGCUGGAAGUGGAAAUUGGUUAAGCUCUUUUCCAGCACCUAGAUGACAGCAAGCAGAUGAGGAACAGCAAGCACUGAUUUGACAAAAACAAAUCACAUCCAAUCAAUCUAAUUUCCUUCUGUAGUAGGCCUUAGAUCUUGAUUUUAGUAAAGCUUUUGCCAUUGUCUCACCUGACACUUUCAUAAACUAAGUAAAGAAACAUGGUUUAGAAGAAACUGCUAUUAGAGGAGUGUACAGCUGGUUGGAAAACCAGACUAAAAGCAGUUAUAAAUGCUUCACUGUCAAACUGGCGGUACGUAUCAAAUGAAGUCUGAAGCCAUCUGUUUUGUGUCUGGCAGUGUACGGUAUUUUCAUUAAUAUCUUUGAAGAAAUGAGAGUAGGGAACACUUAUUAAAUUAGCACAGGACACCAUGGAGAACAAGCGCUUUGGAGAAACAGGAUGAGAAUGCAAAACAAUCUUGACAAAUUGGAGGAAUGCUGGGGAAAACAAACGCCAUUGAGCAGGGACAAAGCAGAGCUCUGCAGUUGCGUAGGCGUCAUCAAGUACUAAAAGACGGCUGGGAAACAACCGGCACAGCAGCAGUUCUGCAGAAGAUCUAGGGAUGACAGCUCAACAUGAAUGAGCACGGUCAUGCUGCAGUAAAAAAUGAAAGUGCUGUAAUGAGGUGUACAAACAGAAGUUCAAUCUGCAAGAAACAGGAAAUAAUUCUUUCCCGCUUGUCUAUGCUGUGAAGACUUCAUUUGAACUGUGCAGGUUCGGCCACUGCAGUUCAGGACAGUUUCAGGACUGGAUAAGCUUGAGGAUUCAACUCAGCCUGCAGCCGAACACCUCAAACAUGGGAGGCCAUUCCACACUGAGGACAACUGAACCAAACAGAGUAAUCGUAUCUUUAGUUAAUGAAACAGCUUCGGUUAGAAAAAGAGGGUGAUAGGAAGGCAUAAAACCAGCAUGAAUUGAUUCAGCUUAAUAAAAUGAGCUGGUUUUAUUAUUUGCUUGCAGCCUACUUCGUAUUAUUCCCCUGGCAGAAGUGACAUCUCAUCACAAGCUUUUGGGAAUCUGUUGUUAAGGGUUUCCUCUUGCAGCUUACAGAGCAAUACCAUAGCUAUGCAAAAUUUCUACAAACUCACACUUUCUCCUCUCUUACCUUGAUGGUAACCUCCUCUCUAAUCUCCUGGUCUGUCAAAUGCUUCCUGUUGGCUGCUGUAGACAUCCUUGCUUGUGCCUCGAUGCAUCUUUUAGCUGUGACAGCCACAACACAACUCCCUGCCUUCCCUCAGGUGCCUAGAAAUGCAGCUCUGUCAUCUUCCUGUUCACGUUUAGCCUGCCCCCUGAAGUCCUCCAGGCUUUUAUUAUCAUGCAGGUUUGUGUUCCUCUCUACUCAUUAACCUCUUUUCCUCUAGCCUUGUCUCUUCUCUUUGCCACAUUAGACUUCUGCACUUCAUCACAUCAAGUCUGCAGCAGAUGUUUCCCUGGCUGCCCACAGACCUCGCACUCAGUGCAAGAAAGGGAAACUCCAUCUCAGUUGAAGUGAAACACAAAGAGGGAACUCUGGUAGUCCUCAGCAAUCCCAUCUGAAUCCUAUCUCAAGUCCAGAGGUAUUUCCUUUCUCUUUUCAUGAGAUUCAUUCACUUCUCCUUUCUCAUGACCCAGUCUCCUACUUGUACAGCAGAACUGAUGGCUCAGAUGGUGCCUUCUGACCUUAAAUGCCUGAAGGUUAACUAAGAAUGGGGGCUCGUGGCACAAGUAAGAGCACAGCAUGUUUUUAAAGAAACGCCUUGGAUAUGUUCAUACACUGCCAUAAAACGUAGCAGCUUGGCUUUGUUCAUUUGUUUUACCACUUGUUGUCUUCUUGCUAACUCUGUACUUCUCUGAAGUGAAGUUCAUCAGUGCACUGACACAGCGACGUAGUUAUGUAUGCCAGGCACAUAAAACACUGCCUAGCCGUAUUUUUGUUAGAAGAGAUGUCACACGUGUACCACAUGUUAGUGUGGCUGACUGUGUCUCCCUGGAGCUGGGUUUCCUCACAUCAGCAGGGAACUGGGCUGGUAGUGGGCCUGGACCAGUAGAUAUGCAGGGACAUGGACGAGGAGCAUUUUGUAAGGUUGAUCUCCCAGGGGGGAUUAUAAUCCAAUUCAUUAUACAGCAACUGGGAGUCCCCUGUGCAUCUCUAUGUCUGUAGAGGUGGAUGUAGAUGCAAGUUGCAGCUUGGAGCAGAAGCACGUGAAGGUGAGGGUAGAUCUCAUCAGUGUGUGGGGAUGAUACUUGUCUCUAACUGCACACAAAGGACAUUUCAUCUUUCCUCCCAGCUCAUCCACUUCCCCUCCCAUAAAGGACAUAAAAAGAAACCAAACAAGAAGAGCAGCCAGUAGAAACUAUCACAUGUUUGGGGAAAGCUCGCAGGACAAAUAUUUCAAACCAGAACUGCCUGAGAUGACCUUAUAAGCAAAAUAGACAACACCUACGUAUUGCGAUGGAAAUGACAAAGCAGGGAAAUUGUUGCAAACGCAGCACAAAUGGACACUAGCUGCAGAUUACACAGAUUAGGAGAGCAUUACAAAUUGUACAAAGGAAACGCUCAAUUUUUCUUUUCAGUAUUAAUAAAAGACACCUGAAAUCAGCAGUACCAAUGAUUCCCUUUGUGAAUCUCAGGCAAUAUGUUGGACAGCCACAUGUUUCUCGCUGGCAUCAAGCAGCCUUGCUUUUACUGCAAGAGAAGUAAGAAAUUCCACCAACGUCAGGGGCACCACGCAGCCGUCUCUCUGUACUCAUUCCUGAAAUGAUCUGAAAUCUAACAGAAGGCAUUUUAUUGACAGCUAUCGUGCCUAUUAGCUUUCAUAUGUUUUCAGGACUUCUCAGAAGGAGCUGGUUCAGGACCUCUUCCAGAGGGACCUGUUCAUCAGCCCACCCCAAGUGACCAUUGGAGGCUGUGCAGUGAUGCUCACUUCCAGGGCUGUAGUCCCCUGGGCAUGAGGCUACUUAUGGCCUAGAGCUUGGGCAGGAAAGCCAGGACAGGCAACCAGGAGGCAGCUCAUAGGCUGGCAGCCUCCACAGCUGCUUGUGCUGCUUGGGGCCUCGUGACUGUCUGUGUGCCAUCCUCAAGCGAGAGUCUGGAGAGUGGGGCGAUGCACCCUGUGGUAAUUUCUGCAGUGUUGCAGGCCAGGAAGCACCAGCAGAAGAGAUGUUAUGACAGUGCAAACAGUUACCUCCGCUGCAGGCAUGAUAGGAAGUGACAAUGCAAACAGAAAUGUAACCUGUCAAGGCCACAGCUACAUGCUUGGGUAGACGAGCUUGUCGUUUAACCAAGAGCAGUGCCACAGCUCCCUGCUUCCCAGUGCUUGAAGGCAUCUGCACACAAGAAAGCCACCCCAAAGCUCCGACCUUUCCAUAUGAGUAAGGCUAAAGGACAAUGCUUCUGCUUCCUGGCAUCAGUCUGUGUGUGUGCGUGUCAGCACUAAUUACAGCCAGCAGGAUGGUGAUUUUCAGAUGUAAAAGCUUUCAAUGCCAGCACGGGCCUUGCAGUGCUGCAGUGGAAAAUAUUAAGAGAGGAUUACCAGAAGGCCCAGAAGAAAUAAAUCACAGCGAAAGGAAAUUAUACUGAGGAGCACAAUGUUUGACUUACAACUGUUGUGGUCUGAAACAUAAAUCCACACGGUACCGAGUGUCUGGAAAACUGAACACCAACUGUAAUGAAAGUAAUCAUUUUGCUAAAGUAUUCUUUACAAAGGGCAACACUUAAAGACAUGUGUUGAUUAAGGUAAAAAUCUAUGGAUGCUGGCCCAGCUCUGGAAGGGCUUCUAAGAUGAGUGCUAGCUCUGUGCACACGAAUGUGGUGUUUGAGGUGGCAAGCCCUGCCAGGGUGAAAUCCCAUGUACCUCUGCCUUUGGAGAGAAGAGGAAAAUGUGCCUUGCUUCUGCUGUGAGACUGACGGAUAAGGAAGUGCUAAGCUUCAUCCUCCCUUCUGCAUGCUGCUGGGGCAUGCAGAUGACAGCAGAGCCAGCCAGAAGGUGCAAAUAUCUGAAGCAGAAGGCGGUGGAUUAGAGAUGGUUUUGGAGGCCACUGGGGAGACAAGAAGUGGAAAAUGAAGAAAACAGAAACCAAGUCUGAAGAAAUAACAAAUUCCAGAAAAUGAGAGAAAAAAUCAGGGGAUGAAAAGAAGAUGGAGGAAGGAAGGAAAGAGAUAUCUAGAAAAAGAAGCAUGGAAAGGGUCAAGUCGGAAGCAGCUGAAAGCAGAAACUUCAAAGAAAAAGGCAAUUUAUAUUCAGACUCUUUGGAAACCCUUGUUAUCUAUGACCAACAGGGUCCUGGUACUUACUAGGUAUAGACAUAAAAGGGUUGUAGAAGAGUAAGACAAUGGUUUAAACAUGUACAAGCCAGAGGAAAGGAAAACUCAGCUCCUGAAAGGAAGGGAAAAGAAAGCAAGGGAGGGUCAUUUUAAAAUUGGCUGAAUUAUCUUUUAAUGUUUGGUAAAGCUACACUCUACAGAUGCUAGAAAUUUAAGAGGCACAAAAACUGGAAUAGUAUAAAAUCCUGUGGACAUGGAGAGCAUUUUGAAGGCAGGAGAUAUAGCUUGUGAGACAGGCACCCCAUGUCCCAGGUGGUGACUGCAACCACCUCUUCUGAAGCCAGGCCUGCUCAAGUAUGGCCAGCAGAGCACCCAUGAGGAGCAUGCAUCUGGCAGGCGGCCAUAAAAAACAGAGGACAUCCUACCAGGGCUGACCAGUACUCAUACAGAAUCAAAGCUGGGAUCUAGCCCCUGCCAAUGCCAAGCCUGAACAGGCCAGCUGUGGCCUGGCAAUAGCAGGGCUGCUCCAACCAUGGCAGUCUGUGAACAGAAGUCUGCCACAGACAUGAGAACCAAGCACCUUGUCCCAUCAUUACAAGGGCAGCAUCCCCAGGUGGCCAGGGAUGGUGGAGGAGGACCUUUGAGCUGGGGUGACACUGAGCUCUUUUGUACUGCAUUCACCCCAUCAGCACUGUGAGAGCAGCUGGUGUGGUUGGGUCCACUUGAAGGCAACCUCCAAAUCAAAUGGAGGCAUAAAGACAACACUGAUGACCAUGAAGUCAAACACCAGACCAAAAUACUCGAGUGGUUCAAAUGCACUGAAGCCAUACAAUGGCUGAGCGAUUGAAAUAGAAAAGGAGUAUGUAUGAGUGUGACCAAAGAAGGUAAAAAAAUUAUUUUGAGUGCUGUUUGUUGCAGACAGAGGAAACUCUCUCUGUUAGGCAACUGAGCUAGUUAACAACACAUACAACAUUACAUGUACCCUAGGAAGGAGUGUGGUCUGGGCAUUGCCACUGUUUAAGAAAGAGCCCUCUCAUGUAUUUCCCAGGAGCCUGAACGGUUACUUCAUGUGUGAGAACGUCAGGCUGUGACCUGCAGGAAAAGAGAGGGCAUGAGGGAGCCAGAUGGCUGAGUGACCCCAGUGCUGUUCCCAGAAGAAGCAGGAGCAGGCAAGGAAAAAUCUGGUGGCUGGAAGGAAAAGUGAGCCCUAGGCAGGUCCCUCCAUGCUCUGGGUCUCUACUGUUCCCUCUCCCACCAGCCCCCUUUUCUCCUCUGAGCCAGCUUCUCAUCAUACCAGACUGCCCAACUCCCACUCCCCCACCAUCUCAUCCACCACAGCUGCAAUUUUCCAACUCCGGUAAGAAACAGAAGUAUCAGCAUAGCAUAUGCAUGUGCUUGCUGAGGGACGGGAGCAGAAACCUUCCCACCUCUUAGUAGUGUCUCCAGCUGCUGCCUUGCUCUGCCUUCCCAAUCUGCCACAUUCUUUAUGUCCCACGUGGCUGCUUUGGCACAGCUCAAGUGAGUGUGGGGAGCAGCAGUGGCCUGUGGUGGCCAUGGUGACUCAUACUGGCUCUCCAGCCAAGACAGACAGGGGAUACCCCAUAAGCAGAUGCUGGUGACCCCAGCAUGUGAGUGCUACUCUGGCCACCACCACUGCCAUGAAGCCUCUAUGUCUGUCUUACACACAGGUACUGUACAUGACUGAUGUAAUGCACAGGGUCUCAUGCAGUGAUGAGUUUUCCCACACAGGCACUCCCCUCCAUCUCUCUACUGAGCAGGAGGCCAGUUUCUAAUGUCUGCCCUUCACUUCAAAUCCUUGGUUUAUGAAACUGGAGGAAAACCCUGAGACAGCAGGUUGAGACUGUCACCAGGGAGAGAGUUAACUCAUUUCCACGGCUGGUAUUCUCCCCACCAGCCCACGCAGCAUCAGAGCAGCUCCGUAAGCCUCAGCAUAGACUCUUGGCCUGUUCUACAGGUGGUGGAAACUUGUAGUAUAUGGUGUAAAAUGCCUACAGGAAGGUGUUUGUGACAGGGCCAAUGGCUAGUGCAUAUACCUGCCCCAAGGCAGGUUCUGUUGUUGUUCCACCACUGCAGAAAUGAUGUAACACUGGUUUUAUUACAGUGCUGGAAUCCGGCAGUGUUUUGCACCUGGAAGGCUGCAUCUGACACCCACCUGUGAGGCAUCAGUCCAUGAAGACUGGGGCUCUGCUUUGGUUUUGCGGUCACUGCUGCUAAUGCGAGAAAACGGACAGGGCAAAAAACAGGAGAUAAAAGGCAGUCAAAGCACUGCUGAAAAAAUACCAGAUAGUUGUAACUCUUAGGACUAACCUUCGGUGUCAGAGGAGUCAAUGCCUCUAUUUUGAAAGGAUGAGCCAUUUUGGGGUAUAACAGCAAUGCACUUCAUAAUCCCUUCCAUAUUUGGCUUUAUUGGCUUAUUGUGCAGAGCUAUUAGAAUCAGGAUCAUCUCUUAUGAAGCUGUUAAUGGGAUGCAAAUUGCAUGAAAGAUUUCUCCGCAUCAAUAGAAAACAACCUAGUAAUAAGUUAUUGCAUAAAAAUCUGCAUAAAAAUCUGCUACAAAAGAAAUACUUCUAAAGAAGCAAAAAAUCCUGCGUGACUGAGGAGGAAAUAUGCUUUACAAAGUGCAAAUGAGUACUGGUUUUAGAGGUAAAGGUGACCUACCUCAGAGCUGCUCAGAUCCCAAAGAACAGCUGUGCCCUAGCUACCCAUGUAUAGUGAAACAGUGCUUCACACAACAUCAUGGCUACAGCCAGGUAAAAAACAGUGUGAUGAAUGUUUUAAGCACUGAUAGAUGCAAGUUCAGGCUGACCAAACCUGCAUCUGUGCUGAAUUCAGCAAGGAGCUGUGGCCAAAAUAUGUACAUUUGAAUAAAAUGAAAAGUCUAAGCAGCUCUCUGUAUGUGAUGCACUCCUACUUUUCAUGCUGACACGAUGUUUUGAGACUAGAAUUGGACUUACAGUGAGCUAGAAACACCUAAAACCAGCAUUAAGUGCUGAUCAGUAAGUCAAGAGAAAUAUUGUGCUGAGUCUGUCACAUCGCUUUGCUGUUUGUUUUUCCUUUUUGGUGUUGACAUCAAUGUGACUGUGAUUUCAGCUGUGGUUUCCAGAGAGCACUGCAGCGUGCCUGCGGCUGGAAGGAGCCUUUUGCUGCCAUUCAGCCCAUGCCACCUAGCACAACCACGGGGCACUACUGCUUCUCCCACGUGGCGUACACCCCGCUCCCCGAGCAUCAGAGCCUCCAGCACAUCACACACCAUCACUCUCCCACAUUAUGCCACAGAAAUGCUCUUUGGUCUCCUGUUUAACGUCCAGCACCAAAGCAGUGGGAAAUACCAGACCACGCAGUACCCGGUGACCUGUCCCAGUAGAACUGAGCUGCCCUGGGUACACCUGCUCUGCAAAACCUAGAGGACAGAAGAGAAAAGCCACAUUUCUGGGAUUCCUUCUUCCACCCAAAUUCCCUACGUGCAACAGGAGCCAGGGGACUGCAGCCUGGGAUGCUGCUCUGUCUCAAGCCCAAGGGGCCAGGCUUUUCCUGAAAUAACAUCCACCUCUUGCUUUGCCGCCUGCUGGGCUCAGCUGAUGCACAUGGAGGAGCCUAAAUAAAGAAACACAGAGCUCAGAGCCCAGGCUUUUCCUCUCCGCUAUCUGCAUUCUUUUGCAUUCAUUAAAAAACAAACAAACCUGUUUCCUGAUAGCAGGGAGGAAAAUCACAGGGCCGCGUUUUGUUUUUCUUUCACUUGCAAUGGCUCAGAUAUUCGAGGGAGAAGCACCUCUAUGGGAUCUACGCAUGGAGAUGAGAGUGGCUGGUAACAGACAUCAGAACAAGCAACAAAUGUCUCCAUCCCUCAGGGAUGGGAGGAGGGAGAGGGAUGGGAAAAAGCAAAAAAGCGUGGGCAUUGCUCUAUCAACCAGAUGCCAGAGGGGGAACUGGCCUAUUCCCAGUCUUGCUCAGAGAUCUGCCAGGGGUGGCAUCGAUCGGAAGGGUGGAGGAACGCGGCCUCGUAUUUUUGCAGCGAGGAUUGGCUCUCUGAAGGAGAGCUAAAAGAAACAGCAGCUUCCCAACGAGCACAGAAAUUGAGAGAAAACGUUAGAAAACGUCUCCAGAUUACAGGGGUAUAAAGAUAGCCCUGGAAGCGGCCGCGCUCCUUGGCGCAGAGUCGCCAGUGCCGGGAAGUGCCUCACAUCCUGUUCUUUGUAUUGUUCUCCCAACUUGUCUGGUGGCUGGGAAAGUUUCUUCCAGCAAUUUACCCCGUCCUCACCCUGCAGCUGGCGGCCUGCUGCUAUUGAUUCACUUCCCCAGGCAUUUCUCUUACUGUCAUGCUCUUGUGGCACCAAAGCACUCAGUGCCCAGCGCUGCUCCAUUAUAUAUAAGGCUGCUUUCUCUGCCUCUCAGCACAAAAUCAAACUCACAGCACAAAGAGCCGUGGGUUUAGAUAUAUAAUUGGAUCAAAUUGUGUGUAAUGACCUUGUCUGGUCUAUUGUGCCUUUGUUUUCCAUUGCAGCUUGCACCAGAGCAGGUACCAUGUUUACAUUGCAGUCAGGGUGACCUGACUCCCAGCCAUCCUGGAUUCAUUCUUUGGCUAAUGGAAAGAGUUUCUUUGCUCUGGAAAGAGUGGGUCCUUUGGACAGGGCUGAUGUUCAGCCUCAGCUUGGCCAUGCCAGCAUUGAACAACUCUUCUGGCUGCAUGCUCUGUGCUCAGCCCCACAAAACAAGGCUGCAGAGAGCUGUGGAUGAUUGCUCAUGUAUUGAGAUGAGUACGGGUGAUGGGUUGGUGGGCCGGCAGGUUCACAGAGUGGUAUGCAAGCACAGAGCUUGAACCCCAAGGUUACAAUUAAAUCUCACCUGAGGCUGGCUGCAUAAGUAAAGCAAGUCAUGUUUAACUGCAGGAAAGAACAUCAUGUAACAGAAAUCUAAUUGUGUUGAACAGUACCCAAUAUAAAGGUUAUGGCUUAUGGAUUAACAGCAGGAACUUACGCUAUGAACUGGGAACUCGUCUGGAACCAGCAGAAGAGGAAAAGAGCACACUGGUGAUUAAUGAUUUGGGGUGCCCAUGGGAUGCAGUUACGGCAAUACAAGCAUGCUCCCAGGAUGCACUGGAAAGUACGUCCAGCAGAAAAUACCAAAGCCAUAGCAUGGAUCACUGGCACGUAGUGGAACUGGCCCGUGUGAUGUGACAGACAUCUCCAGGAAGCAGCCUCAGGGAUGUUCACAUGCACAGGAACAUGCUGGGACACUGAGGGCCGUGGGUGGCCUCCCAGCGGGCCAGCAACACAUCACCCUUUUGUCAUCAUGUAACGAAGAGAGCUACCUGAGCUGAAUCACAGUUUUCUGUGUGUCACAAGAGAAGCUGGACUUGCUCACAGCUGCGAUGCAAACGGGUUCUCUUGAGCAGAGAAGUUCUGAUGCAGCCCAACAGUCAGAGCGCAGGUACAAAAUCCAUAGCAAGCUUCAUGACAGUCAGGUCAGGCCAGGACAAGAGCACUGUGAGGCAGUGUGUGGUGGGAGAAGCCAUCCUCCUCCUGUGAGACUAGGGAAAAAAAACAGAACCUGAAUGGAAAAUGUGCAUAGCCAUUUGAGCCAGUGAAGAAAAUUUCCCUGCUAAUGUGCCACGGGAACUCUUCAAGCACUAGAAGUAGCCAGCCUUUGAUCUCAUGCCUUUAAUGCACUCCCUAAAAGACACAAUGGCUCCAAAUCCUAUCUUGCAUUAUUGCUUGCUUGGCUUAAAGGCAUGCCGCACUGCCAAGGGCAUCUCCUGAUGGCUACAAGCGAAAAGGAAGAGUGAAAGAAAACAAAUGAUUCCAUGGCAAAGUCCAUCAGGCUCUGUGGUGGGCAGGCAGGGUGCAGGUAGAGCGCAGAGGUGACCUUGUGUGGCACAUUUAAAAACACCAGAUGCCACCACACAUCCCACUGUGCCGGCUUCACGCUCCCUUCUUUGUCACAACCCGACACAUCCCCUACAGCACGAUAGAAACUGUAAGUAAUUUAAAAGCACAACUAAUUACCUCAGAGAGCUGUUUAAGUACCCAAACCUACAGCAGCCGCAGGACACUUCCCAACGCUACAGGCAUCCAGAAGUGUAAUUCAGAGCAAACCGUCUCACUGGAGGAGGCCCGUGAGUGCACGGCGCCAAGGGAACCCGCACAUUUAGGAUUUGCAAGGAGCCUGCAUCUACAAAGAGCAGAAAGCCAGUUGCUUCCUCAGCCUCCUGAUAACCCAAGGAAGAAGCCACAUCUGCGCAGCUUUUUUUAAGUGUCUCGAGUGCUCCAUUUUGCAGGAGCUGGGAGGCAGCAGGGAGAGGCGGGAGCCGGGGGCCGUGAGAGAGGCAUGGCGGCCAGCACAGCCUGCAGUGCCUCCUGCCAGCAGCCCCUGCAUGGGGAGGUCAGCGCCAGCAGUCCCCACAAUCAGAGUCUUGUGUCAGACGUGUGAGAAAACUCUCCCUUUCCUGUCGCACGCUGCCGCCACCACAGCUGCGGGCCCCCUCGGACCUGAAUAAACAGAGCCGCGCUGCUGCCAAGGAGCAUCCAGAUGUGCGCGGGGUGACUCAGGAUUUACUGGCACUUCAUAUGUGAGAUCAGAUUGGGGCCAGGACAGUGCUGUUUGGUAAAUUAGCUUUUUACAACCUAAUUUCCUUACUUUAGCUCUUUUUUUCCCCCAGCAUCUUGAAAGGAAAGAAAAAAAGUGAUCCAAGAUGCCAGCGUCUCAGACCAUUUUAAAGGGCCUCUGUGAGGUGUCUGCUCUCUCAGUCGCCUUCCUCACUGCAAAACUUCCCCAGCACUGUGAUUUAAUACACACACCACAACAAGCUGGCAGUUAUACCGGUAUUCAUGCAAGGUGACUGCGAAGAUGCUGCCCUGCAAGCAGAAUAAGGUCCUCUUUAGCAAAGAGGUCUGUGUGCAAGCUCGGAGACGAGCAGUAACGAUGCGGCUUUUCCAGGGGACUGCGGAAAUCACAGCACAGCUGGGCUGUGAGCUGUGCUCCUCUGCCAGUGAGAGCCCUCCAGGACCCACAGCGGGACUGGCAGUAUUCACAUGUACCGAGAGGCCCUGGCUAAGCUAUGGAAGGCAGCUUCAGGAGAGCACCGGAGUGUGGCUUUUUGACCGAAGGCACAUUGCAUCUGUCUGGUUUACUGGUCUUCUGAUGAAGACCUAGCUUGGAGGGUUGUGGGAUUCUCCCAUGAAGUGAGAUUUUUAUAGCACAGCCAUAUUUUGCAACAAGCCUCCAGCCUGCCUAGGAUGCCCCUGUCAAGUUCCAUUUUUCAGGCUCUUUGUGCAGAAAUGAUACUUAAUGGAGGAGCCUCGCUGGUGUGUGCUCAGGCAAGGGGGGAAGAAGACGCAACAUGCAAUCCAUAAAUAGAGACACUUUAGAGGCUCUUUAAACAUUCACGCUUUUUGCAUAAUUGAUGACUUUCCAUAAUAGAUAUGGAUGAUAAACAGCCUUAAAUAAAAUGAAAAUUUAUCAGUGUC